GAACUAGAAUUUCAGAAGUAAAAUUAAACCUUUUUUUUAAGUAAUACAUGAAUUUUGGAGAAAGAGUAAGUUUUACUUAGAUUUCCUUAAACUAUUUAAAUGCUUAAUAGUAGUAUGAACAUAAACCUACAAAUACUGCAUAAACUUUACUCAAAAAUGUUGCGUUUCGAAACGGUCGCAAGCGCAUGCGCACUGUAGCUCACAGCAGGACCGCUUCUGCUCCGAGUCCAGACGUUACAAGAUCACACACAGAGCAAGAGGUGGUCCCGACGACAGUCAUUCUUCAGGAAGCAAAUCACAUAAAAACAUUAUCCUCAUUAUUCAGUGUCCUUUGGAGGAGCCAGUGGACUUUGUGGACAGUUGGACUUGAGGUCUAGGGAGAGGAGGUAGAGGAGGAACCGUUAUUUGCAGCC